rnacentral:rRNA from 1 species
GACGAACGCUGGCGGCGUGCCUAAUACAUGCAAGUAGAACGCUGAAGGAGGAGCUUGCUCUUCUGGAUGAGUUGCGAACGGGUGAGUAACGCGUAGGUAACCUGCCUGGUAGCGGGGGAUAACUAUUGGAAACGAUAGCUAAUACCGCAUAAUAGUAGAUGUUGCAUGAUAUUUACUUAAAAGGUGCAAUUGCACCACUACCAGAUGGACCUGCGUUGUAUUAGCUAGUUGGUGGGGUAACGGCUCACCAAGGCGACGAUACAUAGCCGACCUGAGAGGGUGAUCGGCCACACUGGGACUGAGACACGGCCCAGACUCCUACGGGAGGCAGCAGUAGGGAAUCUUCGGCAAUGGACGAAAGUCUGACCGAGCAACGCCGCGUGAGUGAAGAAGGUUUUCGGAUCGUAAAGCUCUGUUGUAAGAGGAGAACGAGUGUGAGAGUGGAAAGUUCACACUGUGACGGUAUCUUACCAGAAAGGGACGGCUAACUACGUG